rnacentral:lncRNA from 1 species
GGCCUGUCUAUAAAAGAAAGAUGAUGCAAGGCAACUAAGUGUGGUUAAGUAGCUAGAAACUUGUGAGUCCAGGAAAAACCAUCAAGGGAAGAAGAGAGAGAGCAUGCAAGGCGACCAAGUGUGGUUAAGUAGCAAGGCAACCAAGUGUGGUUAAGUAGCUAGAAACUAGUGAGCCCAAGUGAGUCCAAGAAAAACCAUCAAGGGAAGAAGAGAGAGAGCAUGCAAGGCAACCAAGUGUGGUUAAGUAGCUAGAAACUAGUGAGUCUAGGAAAAACCAUCAAGGGAAGAAUAGAGAGAGCAAUCAGCUCAAGUUAGGAGCUGAGUUGGAGUCUUGUAAGUCUAGACACCAAGGAGGGGAAACACCAAGUGUGAGAGAGUAUUCACAAGUGCAUCAAAGUGAGAGCAAGGAGUGAGAGAGAAAAGAGAGCUUGGGGAGAGAAUAGAGUUCAAAGGGGUUUUUCUUUGUAAACCAAGGUUGUAACUUAUUCUUUCAUUAGUGAAUUUCUGAAGGGGCUCACCAAGAGGAUGUAGGCAAUUGCUGAACCUCUAUAAAUACUUGUGUCAUUUUGUGCUUGGUUAUUUUCUGCAAGUGUAUGAGUGUGUGAUUCAUCCAUCCUUGUGUUUGUCACAAAGUCCAUCAACGACAAGAUCAAUGGGAGUCAAGCCAUAAUUCACAACAAGUGGUAUCAGAGCUGUGUUUGAGCAGCAUGCAUGUACUAGUGUGUUGAAGAUGGCAGGUGACAAGGAAGCUGAAGGUGGAAGCAGUUCUAUGCAACAGAGGCAACCACAAGCUGUCAGCAUGAAGGUGGUUGAAGCCUUUCACAGUGAAGGACAACUUCACCUUAUGGCAAAGAGACCAAUCCUGCUUCUGAUAUUUUAUUUUCAACUGAUUUGCUUAGGAAAAAUAGAGAACAAGUUUUAUUUUUUGCGAUCUCUGUUGAUAAACGAGUAAUUGUUGAUGACCCUUCUUUUCUUUUUCUUUCUUUUGGCCUUUUUGGGUUGUUUUUGUGUUUUGUCUGUUUGGGACAGUGUCUUACUGCCAAACAAGAAGUCUUAUAAAGGAUGGAGUAGCACGUGCUAGCUCGCAACUUAUAUAUAUGCCCCAAUAUAUCAGAAUUCAGUCAUUUGUUUGC